GAUGAACGCUGGCGGCGUGCCUAAUACAUGCAAGUCGAGCGAACAGACGAGGAGCUUGCUCCUCUGACGUUAGCGGCGGACGGGUGAGUAACACGUGGAUAACCUACCUAUAAGACUGGGAUAACUUCGGGAAACCGGAGCUAAUACCGGAUAAUAUAUUGAACCGCAUGGUUCAAUAGUGAAAGACGGUUUUGCUGUCACUUAUAGAUGGAUCCGCGCCGCAUUAGCUAGUUGGUAAGGUAACGGCUUACCAAGGCAACGAUGCGUAGCCGACCUGAGAGGGUGAUCGGCCACACUGGAACUGAGACACGGUCACGACUCCUACGGGAGGCAGCAGUAGGGAAUCUUCCGCAAUGGGCGAAAGCCUGACGGAGCAACGCCGCGUGAGUGAUGAAGGUCUUCGGAUCGUAAAACUCUGUUAUUAGGGAAGAACAAAUGUGUAAGUAACUAUGCACGUCUUGACGGUACCUAAUCAGAAAGCCACGGCUAACUACGUG
rnacentral:rRNA from 1 species